rnacentral:piRNA from 1 species
UUGGAGAUUAACCAUAGCUGCCAAAGCCGU